rnacentral:rRNA from 1 species
CAUGCCGUAAACGAUGCAGACUAGGCGUCGGCGGUCUCAACCCCGUCGGUGCCGAAGCUAACGCGAUAAGUCUGCCGCCUGGGGACUACGACCGCAAGGUUAAAACUCAAAGGAAUUGACGGGGGCCUGCACAAGCAGCGGAGCGUGUGGUUUAAUUCGAGGCUACACGAAGAACCUUACCUGGGCUUGACAUACUGGUGAUAGGGAAGUGAAAGCGGACCGACCUUCGGAGCCAGUACAGGUGCUGCAUGGCUGUCGUCAGCUCGUGCCGUGAGGUGUUAGGUUAAGUCCUGUAACGAGCGCAACCCUCGGGCCGAGUUACACGGUGUCUGGUCCGACUGCCCGCGAUAAGCCGG